rnacentral:lncRNA from 1 species
UUCUCACAAAUAUACCCUUUCUCUGAAAAAAAGAAACCUGUGUUCACACAUCACGCCUCCAUCGACGCCUCCAUCUCCACCUCCUUCCUCCACCGGCCUCCUCCACCACGUCGCACCUGCUCCGGCUUGAAGACGGCCCUGUCGCACCUGCUCCGGCUCUCCUUCGCAGCCAUCUGGGGUUCAACAAACAAAAAUGGAACAAAAAAGGGGUAGGAUUAACUGGAACCUAGAGGGUGUUGAGAAAACGUUUCUUGAAACACGUCUUCAAGAAUCACACUUCGUGGACGUGAAGGAAGCAGUCUUAAACAAUACUCAUGACGAGAACACUUUGUUUUCCGAAACAAGGUGGAGAAAGUGACGGGCAGUUCGUUCAAGACAUAGAAUGGGGAUCACAAGGCGUUGAGUAUAUGAAUACCUUACGUAACCAGAUUGCUAGUCAACUAUGGUCAAAUGGUUCAAAUUAAAAUUGUACGCCUAGUAUUAAUUUCUAUUUGGAUUGUAUUAUGUUUCCAUGUACUUUGAA